AGCGAACGCUGGCGGCAGGCUUAACACAUGCAAGUCGAGCGGGCCCUUCGGGGUCAGCGGCGGACGGGUGAGUAACGCGUGGGAACGUGCCUUCUGGUUCGGAAUAACUCAGGGAAACUUGAGCUAAUACCGGAUACGCCCUUUUGGGGAAAGGUUUACUGCCGGAAGAUCGGCCCGCGUCUGAUUAGCUAGUUGGUGGGGUAACGGCCUACCAAGGCGACGAUCAGUAGCUGGUCUGAGAGGAUGAUCAGCCACACUGGGACUAAGACACGGCCCAGACUCCUACGGGAGGCAGCAGUGGGGAAUAUUGGACAAUGGGCGCAAGCCUGAUCCAGCCAUGCCGCGUGAGUGAUGAAGGCCUUAGGGUUGUAAAGCUCUUUUAUCCGGGACGAUAAUGACGGUACCGGAGGAAUAAGCCCCGGCUAACUUCGUG
rnacentral:rRNA from 1 species